rnacentral:rRNA from 1 species
AACGAACGCUGGCGGCAUGCCUAACACAUGCAAGUCGAACGAGACCUUCGGGUCUAGUGGCGCUCGGGUGCGUAACGCGUGGGAACCAGCCCUUAGGUUAGGAAUAACUCCCCGUAAGGGAUGCUAAUAACAGAGAGGGUCAUAGGGCCAAAGACUUAUCGCUGUUGGCUGGGCCCGCGUAGGAUUAGCUGGUUGGUAGGGUACAAGCCUACCAAGGCGACGAUGCAUAGCUGGUCUGGGAGGAAGACCCGGCACACUUGGACUGCGACACGGCCCAGACGCGGACGGGACGCAGCAGUGUGGUAUAUUGUACGCUGGACCAUGGCCUGAUCCAGCCGUGCCGCGUGUGUGGUGCAGGCCUUUGUGUUGUAAAUCUCUUUUACCCGGGGUGUUAAUGACAGUACCGGGUGAAGAAGCACCGGCUAACUCCGUG